rnacentral:lncRNA from 1 species
AGUAAAUGAAUACUGGACUGAUUAAACUGUAUCCAGAAAUUUGGUAAAUAUUAUCAUUUGCCAAUGUUCCGAUUGAAACAUAUAGUAAUAUGUCAUUUGUGUUUCCUGGAGCUAUUGCGUCGUAUAAAAUCUGUAUUUAAUAGUCUGACAAAGAAUCCGACAUUAAUUAAAAAUAUGACUAUCACGGAUAUUGAAAGGAAACAAAAAUACGCAACAUGUCUUCGCAUAAGA